rnacentral:lncRNA from 1 species
ACUCCAGACACACCCCGGCUUCCACAGCCAGCAGCUGCCCCAAGAGAUGUCAGAGUCUGCGCGUUGCAAGCUCCACACUCAGCUCCAGGCAGGUGGAGGCCCCGACAUUCCCAGGCAUGUUACCUCCACAAUCAUCUUGACGGAGAAAACAUAUUUGUGCAGGAAAAUACCUUACACGAGGGUUGUGAGGGAAGGAGAGGACAGGUAGAAUAAAGGAAGAUCUGCAGUGGUGGUCCACCACCAGCGCGCGACAUCGGAGACUGUCGGGAAAGUCGGGGACUGUCGGGGACGGUUGCGGACAGUCAGACACUGUCGCGGACUGUCAGGGAAGGGACCAGGUUCCCCACCAUCACAGAGGCAGGGCCGAUUUCUAGAAAGAAACAGAGACAUGGCCAUGAGGAAACAAAAGAGAAAUUCCUUCAGACUAGACCUCCCACUUUGGUAAAGACCUUACUCUCGGAAAACUUCUGGAAAGACCUGGACCUGUGGCUCCCGUCUGUUCGAGUUCUCUGGGGUCCACACACCUGAGAGCUGGCUGUGGACAAACAGACAGUGGACAUUUCACAUACAGAUGUCGUGGGGUGGAGUCAGAGAGUGAUACUGUGGACGGGACAGGAUAGAGUCGCUUCUCGGUAUGUUAUACUCCACUCACCUGCUGGAGCCUCCUGCCUCUGAACCCUGAACAGAUAACACCCAGAAGUCUCACAGGAGGCCAAUCAGCAGUAACUGAUUACUUGGUUUACAAAACCACAAUGUAAAAGACGAGUGAAGAGUCAAGGUAAACCAGAGAAACGGAGAUGGAGUUUUUAUUUAGAUUUGUAUCCAGCUCAGUUUCGAGGGAUAUUUUAGAAAGUUGAAUUCACACUCAAGAAAGCUAUCAUAGACAGGUACUGUAACAUCUGUUCAGCCACAUCCAAAGUUCUCAACAUUUAGACCAGCAACAGUGGCUCAUGCCUGUAAUCCCGGCACUUUAGGAGGCUAAGAUGGGAGGAUUGCUUGAGGCCAGGAGUUUGAGAUCAGCCUGGACAACAGCAUGAGACCCCAUAUGUACACAAGAAUUUUUUUUUUAAUUAUUCAGGUGUGGUGGCACACGCCUGUACUCCCAGUGACUCGGAGGCUGA